ACUACGGGUGGCAGCAGUGAGGAAUAUUGGUCAAUGGGCGGAAGCCUGAACCAGCCAAGUAGCGUGCAGGAUGACGGCCCUACGGGUUGUAAACUGCUUUUAUACGGGAAUAACGCGCCUUACGUGUAGGGCUUUGCAUGUACCGUAUGAAUAAGGACCGGCUAAUUCCGUGCCAGCAGCCGCGGUAAUACGGAAGGUCCGGGCGUUAUCCGGAUUUAUUGGGUUUAAAGGGAGCGUAGGCCGCAUGUCAAGCGUGCUGUGAAAUGUCCGGGCUCAACCCGGGCCGUGCAGCGCGAACUGGCGUGCUUGAGUCCGCGGAAAGCAGGCGGAAUUCGUCGUGUAGCGGUGAAAUGCUUAGAUAUGACGAAGAACCCCGAUUGCGAAGGCAGCUUGCUGCAGCGGAACUGACGCUGAUGCUCGAAAGCGCAGGUAUCGAACAGGAUUAGAUACCCCAGUAGUC
rnacentral:rRNA from 1 species